rnacentral:rRNA from 1 species
GACGAACGCUGGCGGCGUGCUUAACACAUGCAAGUCGAACGGAAAGGCCCUGCUUUUGUGGGGUGCUCGAGUGGCGAACGGGUGAGUAACACGUGAGUAACCUGCCCUUGACUUUGGGAUAACUUCAGGAAACUGGGGCUAAUACCGGAUAGGAGCUCCUGCUGCAUGGUGGGGGUUGGAAAGUUUCGGCGGUUGGGGAUGGACUCGCGGCUUAUCAGCUUGUUGGUGGGGUAGUGGCUUACCAAGGCUUUGACGGGUAGCCGGCCUGAGAGGGUGACCGGCCACAUUGGGACUGAGAUACGGCCCAGAGUCCUACGGGAGGCAGCAGUGGGGAAUAUUACACAAUGGGCGGAAGCCUGAUGCAGCAACGCCGCGUGCGGGAUGACGGCCUUCGGGUUGUAAACCGCUUUCGCCUGUGACGAAGCGUGAGUGACGGUAAUGGGUAAAGAAGCACCGGCUAACUACGUG